GUCUGAUCACUGAAGUCAAGCAGGGUCGGGCCAUGUCAGUACUUGGAUGGGUGACUGCCUAGGAACACAUGGUGUUGUAGGCU
rnacentral:rRNA from 1 species